UGGAUAUCCGGGCCAGGAGGCUCGCGGAGCCCUCACUUCCGGUGGUGUCUCAGCCCAGCUCCCUUGAGGCGCAGGUUCUGGCUCUCGGUGCGGUAGCGCCAUCUGGCGCCGAGUGUUCCCCGGACUGCGGAGGGGCGCGCUUCCUCCCUUCAGAACAUUCCAGAGACACCGCGGCGGCCGGGGCUCUGUCUCCCUUUCUCUGCAUUCUGCUUGUGGAUCAGAUGUGAGCUCUCAUCUACUGCUCUGGUGUCACACCUGCCUGCCUGCCUGCCACCAUGCUGCCUGCCAUGAUGAUCAUGGACUCACCCUCUGAAACUGACUUAUUUUCAAGCAUUGUGACCCAAGUGAAGAUUAUGUCUUCUCUCAUUAGCUGCUUUGGAAACCAGUAAUGGAGGACUGACUGCUGGCUGUGCACUCCAAUGCUCCUCAUUCCGCUGUGCUAGACUCAGCUGAAAUCCUUGCCUCCCCUCAAAGAAGCCAAAUGCAUCAUGAACAGUGACAUUUCUGCUAGCCAGGAAAACAUAAAGAAAUCCCAGUGAAGCAAGAAGGUAGACAAAAUUCUUUCCAGCAUUUGAACAAAAAGGGUAAUUGUUUUUGUUGUUUUUGUUCAUCUAAGUUUUAUGGAAGUCGAUUAUCCAACUCUCUGCUGGACUUUCAAACCUCCUUUUCUCUGUCCUACAUAAUUUAAACACACUAUAAAUACCCUUAGCUACUCUGAGGGCGGGCCCAUAUUUGCAAGGCAACCACGGUUUGAGAUAUUGUUGAAUUUGAAAGGCAGCACUUCCUUGUCCGGCACAUAAACUCCAAUGAAGGUUAUGAUGAGUGUGCUGGUGGUGGCCACGUUUGACAGCCAGACAAGCAGCUCAUUUAUUCCAAAAGACUUUGAAUCCAUGCCCAGAGUCAAAUGUAGACUCUUUUUUUAAAACUCAGGAGGCUUGAAAUAAGAAAGUUAACUGACUCACAGUGCCCUUCUUGUUAGGGAGUAGGAAGGCUUCAGAAUGGAGAGAGGGCUAAAGUGUUUGAACCUGUCCGAUGGCUUCUUUAUGGGGUUCAGCCAUGGUAUUUCCUAGCUUGUCUUGUGUGAAAGUCUAUAUUGCUUGUUGAAGGUUGAAAAUAUCAUCUCUUUAUGAAAAUCCCCAAUCCUGGGAAGAAAAUAUAGAAUGAAAAAAUAAAAUGGGAUAUAGGAAGCCUGUGGAAUAGGACUUUAAAAACCCCUGUGCAUCACUGAAUCAGUAAAUGAGCUAACAAGAGAGUUUUGUGGCCACCAAGGACCCCCUCCAUGUCCCUGCUUCCCUCAAUGAUAGACAUAACCUGUAAGUUGAAGUAAAACCUGUCUUCCCAAGUCACUGUUUGGUCAUGGUGUUUAUCACAGGAACGGACAGCAAACUGUUAAAAGUGCAUGCUAUAUAUUAUAAGCCUAGUCAAAAGCUGGAGGCUGGAGAGAUCACAGACCUUAGAAGCCAUUCAUUAUUACUGUUUUGCUAAGUAGACGGUCCCAUUGCCUCCUAAACACUCAUGUUCAUAUGCAUUGAUUAGUGAUACUCUCACCCUGAAUCAGGGUGGCUUAUGGCAAAUAGGAGGUAGUUAAUGCAGAGGCUCACACCUGGUCAAAGUGUCCAGAAGUGUUACAGAAGAACAGGUCAAUAAGAACCUAAGAGCCAGAGGCUAGAGAUGCCUGCGUUUGAAAAGAUGACUUCUGGACAAGACCUGGCUGUUAUAGUCAUAAACUCGUUAUGGAAGGUGGAGGAGUGUUCCUGAGACACUACUGACAGUAAAUCCCUCCCCGAGGGGCUACCAAAAGUUAAUAGUUGCUGUGGGUAAUGCAUUGUGCUUCCGGGUGAUGUAGCCACCAAUGCAUUGCCCUUGUUCCAGUAACUAUCCUGCCAGCUAUACUUAUGUAAAUUCAAUGGCUCACACACAAAAAGAAGACUUCAAAUUGGAGGGUACUUGCUGAGGAGUUUAAGCAGGAAGAAGAAAGGGGGUGUGAGGAUAGCAGGGAGUGAAAUGAUUAAAAUUGGUUAUAUAUGUAUAUGAAUGCCAAAGAAUAAAAAGUAAUUUUUAAAAAUUC
rnacentral:lncRNA from 1 species